UGUGCAAAUAAACCAGUAACCAUAAACCAAAUCUAUAUCCAAACCAAACCAAAUUUAAAAACCCAGCCCAAAAUAAAAAAUUAAAACCAGAGGCCCAUUUAUCAAAACCAAAAAAAACCGGAAACCAUUAUUCAGUUUGGAUCACGUUAUCGGUUACCAUUUGAAAAAUUUGAGAAAAACCCUAAUUCCCAAACCCUCUCUUCUAUCUCUUCUCUUCUACUAUCUGAGAUAGCUGUCACAAACCCUCCGCCUAAUCCUCUUCCACCUUCUCCAUCUCCGAUUCUCUCUACACUUUCCUCUCAUUCCAUCCAAUCUUAGAUCCCAGCCUCACGAUUGAACCGUCGUGUCGAAAACUUCUUGAAGGUUUCAAGUGAUCAAAAGCUGCCAUCACUUUAUCUCUUAGAUAGUAUUGUCAAGAAUAUGGGCGAGAUUACAUAAAAUACUUUGCUGUUAGACUACCUGAAGUCAGAUAUCUAUUACCUUUUUGAAGGAUAAUUAUUGGUUUAUCUGAGAUUUAAGUUGCUGUCCUAUAUGUAUAUGUCUAGUUUGGAUCCACAUUGCUGAUUGGAAAUGUUUAGUGAAUUUGAUCAUUCAUAGCAUGCUUGGGUCUUAGUUGGGCAAGGUUUUCUCACGUUCCAAAGCUAUAUGACUAUGAUGUUUUUUAGCUAUGAUUCUAGACUCAAGUGAAAAAAAUUUCUUUUUCUGUUUUAGUCUUAUUUUUCUAUGAUUAUGCAAUGCCUUUGUUUCUUGAUGCGUCGGUUUGUUUAUCCUAGGUUUUAAUAUGAAAUCAAUUACAAGAGUUCUGUAAUUAAGUAUGAUAACUAAGUAUAUUCGCUAAUGUAUUAUUAUUUAUUAUACUUGAGGCAUAAUGAAAUGUAUUUAUAUGUUUUGUAUAAUUACUUUAUACGGAAGAUGGUGCUAGCUGUUCAACAUCUUCAACCUCUGUUGCACUUGAAGAGGACUUGUCGGUUUAAUUGUUGUACUGCACUCGGUUGAGAUUGUGAUGGGAGUUGAGGAAGAAUUUGGCAUUAGCGUGGAAGAAGAAAGUGCUCAGAGCUUCUUGAGACCAAGGCUUAAACCAACAAAGAGGAGGACUUAACAUGUCCAUUUUGGAGUGUCUUUUUUUUGUUGCUAUAUGAUAUUUGAUGUGUCAGUUUAACUAAGCUUCAUGUAAUUGCUGGAUCUUUUGUGGACCAUAUUAGGAUUAAAUAAUGCUACUUUUAAUCUUAA